CAAUAGCGUAUAUUAAAGUUGUUGCAGUUAAAACGCUCGUAGUCGGAUUUCGGGGCCUGCCUGCCGGUCUGCCGAUGGGUAUGCACUGGCAGGCGCGUCCUUCCUUCCGGAGACUGUCCCUACUCUUAACUGAGCGGGGUCGGGAGACGGAUCGUUUACUUUGAAAAAAUCAGAGUGUUUCAAGCAGGCAGCUCGCUCUUGCAUGGAUUAGCAUGGGAUAAUGAAAUAGGACUUUGGUGCUAUUUUGUUGGUUUCGAACACCGAAGUAAUGAUUAACAGGGACAGUCAGGGGCACUCGUAUUCCGCCGAGAGAGGUGAAAUUCUCAGACCAGCGGAAGACGAACCACUGCGAAAGCAUUUGCCAGGGAUGUUUNCACUGA
rnacentral:rRNA from 1 species